rnacentral:rRNA from 1 species
CUUAGAAGCAGCCAUCAUUUAAAGAAAGCGUAAUAGCUCACUGGUCGAGUCGGCCUGCGCGGAAGAUGUAACGGGGCUAAACCAUGCACCGAAGCUGCGGCAGCGACACUGUGUGUUGUUGGGUAGGGGAGCGUUCUGUAAGCCUGUGAAGGUGUGCUGUGAGGCAUGCUGGAGGUAUCAGAAGUGCGAAUGCUGACAUAAGUAACGAUAAAGCGGGUGAAAAGCCCGCUCGCCGGAAGACCAAGGGUUCCUGUCCAACGUUAAUCGGGGCAGGGUGAGUCGACCCCUAAGGCGAGGCCGAAAGGCGUAGUCGAUGGGAAACAGGUUAAUAUUCCUGUACUUGGUGUUACUGCGAAGGGGGGACGGAGAAGGCUAUGUUGGCCGGGCGACGGUUGUCCCGGUUUAAGCGUGUAGGCUGGUUUUCCAGGCAAAUCCGGAAAAUCAAGGCUGAGGCGUGAUGACGAGGCACUACGGUGCUGAAGCAACAAAUGCCCUGCUUCCAGGAAAAGCCUCUAAGCAUCAGGUAACAUCAAAUCGUACCCCAAACCGACACAGGUGGUCAGGUAGAGAAUACCAAGGCGCUUGAGAGAACUCGGGUGAAGGAACUAGGCAAAAUGGUGCCGUAACUUCGGGAGAAGGCACGCUGAUAUGUAGGUGAAGUCCCUCGCGGAUGGAGCUGAAAUCAGUCGAAGAUACCAGCUGGCUGCAACUGUUUAUUAAAAACACAGCACUGUGCAAACACGAAAGUGGACGUAUACGGUGUGACGCCUGCCCGGUGCCGGAAGGUUAAUUGAUGGGGUCAGCGCAAGCGAAGCUCUUGAUCGAAGCCCCGGUAAACGGCGGCCGUAACUAUAACGGUCCUAAGGUAGCGAAAUUCCUUGUCGGGUAAGUUCCGACCUGCACGAAUGGCGUAAUGAUGGCCAGGCUGUCUCCACCCGAGACUCAGUGAAAUUGAACUCGCUGUGAAGAUGCAGUGUACCCGCGGCAAGACGGAAAGACCCCGUGAACCUUUACUAUAGCUUGACACUGAACAUUGAGCCUUGAUGUGUAGGAUAGGUGGGAGGCUUUGAAGUGUGGACGCCAGUCUGCAUGGAGCCGACCUUGAAAUACCACCCUUUAAUGUUUGAUGUUCUAACGUGGACCCGUGAUCCGGGUUGCGGACAGUGUCUGGUGGGUAGUUUGACUGGGGCGGUCUCCUCCUAAAGAGUAACGGAGGAGCACGAAGGUUGGCUAAUCCUGGUCGGACAUCAGGAGGUUAGUGCAAUGGCAUAAGCCAGCUUGACUGCGAGCGUGACGGCGCGAGCAGGUGCGAAAGCAGGUCAUAGUGAUCCGGUGGUUCUGAAUGGAAGGGCCAUCGCUCAACGGAUAAAAGGUACUCCGGGGAUAACAGGCUGAUACCGCCCAAGAGUUCAUAUCGACGGCGGUGUUUGGCACCUCGAUGUCGGCUCAUCACAUCCUGGGGCUGAAGUAGGUCCCAAGGGUAUGGCUGUUCGCCAUUUAAAGUGGUACGCGAGCUGGGUUUAGAACGUCGUGAGACAGUUCGGUCCCUAUCUGCCGUGGGCGCUGGAGAACUGAGGGGGGCUGCUCCUAGUACGAGAGGACCGGAGUGGACGCAUCACUGGUGUUCGGGUUGUCAUGCCAAUGGCACUGCCCGGUAGCUAAAUGCGGAAGAGAUAAGUGCUGAAAGCAUCUAAGCACGAAACUUGCCCCGAGAUGAGUUCUCCCUGACCCUUUAAGGGUCCUGAAGGAACGUUGAAGACGACGACGUUGAUAGGCCGGGUGUGUAAGCGCAGCGAUGCGUUGAGCUAACCGGUACUAAUGAACCGUGAGGCUUAACCUUACAACGCCGAAGGUGUUU